ACGAGUGGCGGACGGGUGAGUAACACGUGGGUAACCUGCCCUUAAGUGGGGGAUAACAUUUGGAAACAGAUGCUAAUACCGCAUAGAUCCAAGAACCGCAUGGUUCUUGGCUGAAAGAUGGCGUAAGCUAUCGCUUUUGGAUGGACCCGCGGCGUAUUAGCUAGUUGGUGAGGUAAUGGCUCACCAAGGCGAUGAUACGUAGCCGAACUGAGAGGUUGAUCGGCCACAUUGGGACUGAGACACGGCCCAAACUCCUACGGGAGGCAGCAGUAGGGAAUCUUCCACAAUGGACGCAAGUCUGAUGGAGCAACGCCGCGUGAGUGAAGAAGGCUUUCGGGUCGUAAAACUCUGUUGUUGGAGAAGAAUGGUCGGCAGAGUAACUGUUGUCGGCGUGACGGUAUCCAACCAGAAAGCCACGGCUAACUACGUGCCAGCAGCCGCGGUAAUACGUAGGUGGCAAGCGUUAUCCGGAUUUAUUGGGCGUAAAGCGAGCGCAGGCGGUUUUUUAAGUCUGAUGUGAAAGCCCUCGGCUUAACCGAGGAAGMGCAUCGGAAACUGGAAAACUUGAGUGCAGAAGAGGACAGUGGAACUUCCAUGUGUAGCGGUGAAAUGCGUAGAUAUAUGGAAGAACACCAGUGGCGAAGGCGGCUGUCUGGUCUGUAACUGACGCUGAGGCUCGAAAGCAUGGGUAGCGAACAGGAUUAGAUACCCUGGUAGUCCAUGCCGUAAACGAUGAAUGCUAGGUGUUGGAGGGUUUCCGCCCUUCAGUGCCGCAGCUAACGCAUUAAGCAUUCCGCCUGGGGAGUACGACCGCAAGGUUGAAACUCAAAGGAAUUGACGGGGGCCCGCACAAGCGGUGGAGCAUGUGGUUUAAUUCGAAGCAACGCGAAGAACCUUACCAGGUCUUGACAUCUUUUGAUCACCUGAGAGAUCAGGUUUCCCCUUCGGGGGCAAAAUGACAGGUGGUGCAUGGUUGUCGUCAGCUCGUGUCGUGAGAUGUUGGGUUAAGUCCCGCAACGAGCGCAACCCUUAUGACUAGUUGCCAGCAUUUAGUUGGGCACUCUAGUAAGACUGCCGGUGACAAACCGGAGGAAGGUGGGGAUGACGUCAAAUCAUCAUGCCCCUUAUGACCUGGGCUACACACGUGCUACAAUGGAUGGUACAACGAGUUGCGAGACCGCGAGGUCAAGCUAAUCUCUUAAAGCCAUUCUCAGUUCGGACUGUAGGCUGCAACUCGCCUACACGAAGUCGGAAUCGCUAGUAAUCGCGGAUCAGCACGCCGCGGUGAAUACGUUCCCGGGCCUUGUACACACCGCCCGUCACACCAUGAGAGUUUGUAACACCCGAAGCCGGUGGCGUAACCCUUUUAGGGAGCGAGCCGUCUAAGGUGGGACAAAUGAUUAGGGUGAAGUCGUAA
rnacentral:rRNA from 1 species